UAUUGAGUUAAAUGGAUUAUAAGAUGAAUUUUAAAGGAUAAUUGAAGUUGCCUUAAAACCCGCCCUAUAUCAACCUUGACUAACUAAAGGGUCGGAGAGUGAUAGCAGCCUAUGUAACACUGUUAACUCCAUAUCUUGUUGUUGGGACAUGAAUCUUGAAUUAACC